rnacentral:rRNA from 1 species
AGCGAACGCUGGCGGCAGGCUUAACACAUGCAAGUCGAACGGGCACUUCGGUGCUAUUGGCAGACGGGUGAGUAACACGUGGGAACUUACCUUUCGGUUCGGAAUAAUCCAGGGAAACUUGGACUAAUACCGGAUACGCCCUUCGGGGGAAAGAUUCAUCGCCGAUAGAUCGGCCCGCGUCUGAUUAGCUAGUUGGUGAGGUAAUGGCUCACCAAGGCGACGAUCAGUAGCUGGUCUGAGAGGAUGAUCAGCCACAUUGGGACUGAGACACGGCCCAAACUCCUACGGGAGGCAGCAGUGGGGAAUAUUGGACAAUGGGCGCAAGCCUGAUCCAGCCAUGCCGCGUGAGUGAUGAAGGCCUUAGGGUUGUAAAGCUCUUUUGUCCGGGAAGAUAAUGACUGUACCGGAAGAAUAAGCCCCGGCUAACUUCGUG